AACGAACGCUGGCGGCAGGCCUAACACAUGCAAGGCGAGCGAGGACUUCGGUCCUAUCGGCGGACGGGUGAGUAACGCGUGGUAACGUGCGCUUUGCGUCUGAAUAGCGCUGGGAAACUUGUAGUAAUACCGGAGGAGCCCUUUGGGGGAAAGAUUUAUCGGCGACGGAUCGGCCCGCGUUGUAGUAGGUAGUUGGUGGGGUAAUGGCCUACCAAGCCGACGAUCCAUAGCUGGUUUGCAAGGAUGCUCAGCCACACUGUGACUGAGACACGGCCCAGAAUCCUACGGGCGGCAGCACUGGGGCAUCUUAGACACUGCGGCCAACCCUCAUCCCGCCAUGCCGCGUGAGCGACGAAGGCCUCAGGGUUGUACAGCCCUUUCCGCUGGGAAGAUAAUGACGGUACCAGCAGAAGACGCCGCGGCUACCCCCGUC
rnacentral:rRNA from 1 species